rnacentral:rRNA from 1 species
CAAUAGCGUAUAUUUAAGUUGCUGCAGUUAAAAAGCUCGUAGUUGGAUUUCGGGUGGGAAUGGCCGGUCCGCCGUUUCGGUGUGCACUUGCUACGCCCACCUUGCUGCCGGGGACGUGCUCUUGAGUUCACGCUCGGGACACGGAGUCGGCGAGGUUACUUUGAGUAAAUUAGAGUGUUCAAAGCAGGCCUACGCUCUGAAUACAUUAGCAUGGAAUAACACGAUAGGACUCUGGCCUAUCUUGUUGGUCUGUAGGACCGGAGUAAUGAUUAAGAGGGACAGUCGGGGGCAUUUGUAUUUCAUUGUCAGAGGUGAAAUUCUUGGAUUUAUGAAAGACGAACUACUGCGAAAGCAUUUGCCAAGGAUGUCUUCAUUAA